rnacentral:rRNA from 1 species
AGAACGAACGCUGGCGGCAGGCUUAACACAUGCAAGUCGAACGGUUGUAGCAAUACAGCAGUGGCAGACGGGUGAGUAACACGUGGGAACCUUCCUAGGGGUACGGAACAACUCAGGGAAACUUGAGCUAAUACCGUAUACGUCCGUGAGGAGAAAGAUUUAUCGCCCCUAGACCGGGCCCGCGUAGGAUUAGGUAGUUGGUGAGGUAACGGCUCACCAAGCCUACGAUCCUUAGCUGAUCUGAGAGGAUGAUCAGCCACACUGGGACUGAGACGACCGGCCCAGACU